rnacentral:rRNA from 1 species
AUGAUCAACACAACAAGAUCGAAGGUCAUGUCGACGGGCGGCAAGAGGGGCCUGACAGGGAGGUCCGUGCAGGACCUGACGGAGAGAGGCGACUCGAAUCACGUGGAAGACGAGAAGGAUCCGUGGGGAAAAGUUAUCCUCUGCUGCUCCUCUCGUCGUCGUGGCCCCGACCAGACCGUGCCUGCGAUGGUGAGGAGCAACCUCGACGGGGAGGGCAGAGGAUCAAACGAUAAAGCUCCAUCUCCGGUCGACCGGCAAGGCAACCCCAACGACACGGCACCGUCUGAACUGCAAAUCAAGCAGAGAAACAAGAAAGAGAGUAAGAAACGAGCAGAGCACAAGAGAUCCGCGAGAGGUAGAGGAACCACCCAAAUACUUGAACCUUCAUAA